GAAAUUAUGAGCUUGUAUUUAGAAAAUCUGUAUGGAAGCUUGAGCAAAGAACUUAAUCCUGAAAACAAUUACUUACUAUCUUAAAAGUAUUACCAAAAGAAACUGAUUUUUUUUUUUUUUUUUCAUAGAAGAUGGGCCCUAGAUUUGCAUCCCUCCAAGAUGGGUGUCUUCUGGCUGAGUAGUGCCCCUAAUGAGAGAGUAAACUGAGAGUGUCCAGUGGAGAGUUACCAAGAUGGUUAGGGGCAGAAGACCCACAAGUAAAAGCUAAGCUCACAAAGAGCUGAUAGCAGCCUACAAAUACUCGAAGGGCAGUUACAAAGAUGGUCCACUCCUAUUGCUCUUGCUUUGGCAACAGCCUCAUUGCCAGCAGCUGGCAUUUUGAUACUACUGUGUGACUACAAGACUUGGCCAUCAGACACCAGAUCCUAGAAAAAAUUCUGGUAUUGCCACUGUGUCAAAUUGCAGAUACCUUUUCCACUUGAUGGACCAUAAUCUGGAAAAGGCUACCCUGAGGCUGAAUUACUUAGCUUUCCUCUACAGUUCAGAAGCAGUGAGUGGCAUCUGAAGGAAGAUGGCAAACCUGAUGAAGCAUUCUUGAAGGCAAUGGGAGUGCGUGUGGUGAGGGCAGCAGUGCUGCUGUGUGGUGGGUUGCUGAGUCCCAUGGCAGGGACGGAGCCUGCGUGCGUGGACAGAUAUGUGCUGUCUGCAGAAGAGACACCUGUGGUGAGAGGAGUCUGUGCUGUGCAGCCUGAGGGGUAGAGACAGCAUCAGGAAGGCUGUGGUGGAUGUCAGUUCAGCUGAACAGGAAAAGGGCAGCAAUGCCAUGGUCUUGAAUUCACCGUUACCUUCGGUGGUGCCUGGAGGUGAGAAUGAUGUGGAGUGUGCAGGCGGAGGUGACGUAAGGGAAGGAGAGCUGGUGUUUGCCAGAUUUUCUUUUCCUGCUGCACAGUGGAGAAAAAGUAUCAGCAGGUGACCAAUGCAUGAAAGUGAGAAGUUCAGUUACAAGCAGAAAGACUACCACCCGCUUUCUGAAUUACAUUUAGCCCUGCAGCACUGUCAAAAAGAACACAUUUACAUUGCUCUGCAGUUGCUGCACAGGCUGUGGAACGCAUCUCC
rnacentral:lncRNA from 1 species